rnacentral:rRNA from 1 species
CCUACGGGUGGCUGCAGUGAGGAAUAUUGGUCAAUGGGCUUACGCCUGAACCAGCCAAGUCGCGUGAGGGAAGACUGCCCUAUGGGUUGUAAACCUCUUUUGUCAGGGAGCAACGCCGGCUACGUGUAGCCGGACUGAGAGUAUCUGAAGAAAAAGCAUCGGCUAACUCCGUGCCAGCAGCCGCGGUAAUACGGAGGAUGGGAGCGUUAUCCGGAUGUAAUGGGUUUAAAGGGUGCGUAGGCGGGAUGCCAAGUCAGUGGUAAAAUCGCGGGGCUCAACCUCGCUCCGCAGUUGAAACUGGCGUUCUUGAGUGGGCGAGAGGUAUGCAGAAUGCGUGGUGUAGCGGUGACAUGCAUAGAUAUCACGCAGAACUCCGAUUGCGAAGGCAGCAUACCGGCGCCCAACUGACGCUGAAGCACGAAAGCGUGGGUAUCGAACAGGAUUAGAUACCCGGGUAGUC